rnacentral:rRNA from 1 species
GAUGAACGCUGGCGGCGUGCCUAAUACAUGCAAGUCGAGCGAACAGACGAGGAGCUUGCUCCUCUGACGUUAGCGGCGGACGGGUGAGUAACACGUGGAUAACCUACCUAUAAGACUGGGAUAACUUCGGGAAACCGGAGCUAAUACCGGAUAAUAUAUUGAACCGCAUGGUUCAAUAGUGAAAGACGGUUUUGCUGUCACUUAUAGAUGGAUCCGCGCCGCAUUAGCUAGUUGGUAAGGUAACGGCUUACCAAGGCAACGAUGCGUAGCCGACCUGAGAGGGGGGUCGGCCAACCUGGAACUGAGACACGGUCCAGACUCCUACGGGAGGGAGCAGUAGGGAAUCUUCCGAAAUGGGCGAAAGCCUAACGGAGCAAUGCCGAGUGAGAGAUGAAGGUCUUCGGAUCGUAAAACUCUGUUAUUAGGGAAGAACAAAUGUGUAAGUAACUAUGCACGUCUUGACGGUACCUAAUCAGAAAGCCACGGCUAACUACGUG